GCCCGGAUGGCGGAAUUGGUAGACGCGCUAGUUUCAGGGACUAGUGGCCGCAAGGCUGUGCAGGUUCGACCCCUGUUCCGGGCA
rnacentral:tRNA from 1 species